UACGGGGGGGGGCAAGCGUUGUUCGGAAUUACUGGGCGUAAAGGGCUCGUAGGCGGCCAACUAAGUCAGACGUGAAAUCCCUCGGCUUAACCGGGGAACUGCGUCUGAUACUGGAUGGCUUGAGUUUGGGAGAGGGAUGCGGAAUUCCAGGUGUAGCGGUGAAAUGCGUAGAUAUCUGGAGGAACACCGGUGGCGAAGGCGGCAUCCUGGACCAAUACUGACGCUGAGGAGCGAAAGCCAGGGGAGCAAACGGG
rnacentral:rRNA from 1 species